rnacentral:rRNA from 1 species
UCGGGAGCGAAGCAAUUGGAAGUGGUUCCAAGAAAAGCCUCUAAGCUUCAGUCUAACGAUGACCGUACCGCAAACCGACACAGGUGGGCGAGAUGAGUAUUCUAAGGCGCUUGAGAGAACUCGGGAGAAGGAACUCGGCAAAUUGGUACCGUAACUUCGGGAUAAGGUACGCCCUUGUAGCUUGAUGCGCCUGCGCGCAGAGGGUGAAGGGGUUGCAAUAAACUGGUGGCUGCGACUGUUUAAUAAAAACACAGCACUCUGCAAACACGAAAGUGGACGUAUAGGGUGUGACGCCUGCCCGGUGCCGGAAGAUUAAAUGAUGGGGUGCAAGCUCUUGAUUGAAGUCCCGGUAAACGGCGGCCGUAACUAUAACGGUCCUAAGGUAGCGAAAUUCCUUGUCGGGUAAGUUCCGACCUGCACGAAUGGCGUAACGAUGGCCACACUGUCUCCUCCCGAGACUCAGCGAAGUUGAAGUGUUUGUGAUGAUGCAAUCUACCCGCGGCUAGACGGAAAGACCCCAUGAACCUUUACUGUAGCUUUGCAUUGGACUUUGAACCGAUCUGUGUAGGAUAGGUGGGAGGCUAUGAAACCGGAACGCUAGUUUCGGUGGAGCCGUCCUUGAAAUACCACCCUGGUUUGUUUGAGGUUCUAACCUUGGCCCGUGAUCCGGGUCGGGGACAGUGCAUGGUAGGCAGUUUGACUGGGGCGGUCUCCUCCCAAAGCGUAACGGAGGAGUACGAAGGUACGCUAGGUACGGUCGGAAAUCGUGCUGAUAGUGCAAUGGCAUAAGCGUGCUUAACUGCGAGACCGACAAGUCGAGCAGGUGCGAAAGCAGGUCAUAGUGAUCCGGUGGUUCUGUAUGGAAGGGCCAUCGCUCAACGGAUAAAAGGUACUCUGGGGAUAACAGGCUGAUACCGCCCAAGAGUUCAUAUCGACGGCGGUGUUUGGCACCUCGAUGUCGGCUCAUCUCAUCCUGGGGCUGUAGCCGGUCCCAAGGGUAUGGCUGUUCGCCAUUUAAAGAGGUACGUGAGCUGGGUUUAAAACGUCGUGAGACAGUUUGGUCCCUAUCUGCCGUGGGCGUUGGAUAUUUGAAGGGGGCUGCUCCUAGUACGAGAGGACCGGAGUGGACGAACCUCUGGUGUACCGGUUGUCACGCCAGUGGCAUCGCCGGGUAGCUAUGUUCGGAAGAGAUAACCGCUGAAAGCAUCUAAGCGGGAAACUCGCCUUAAGAUGAGAUAUCCCUGGGGACUAGAUCCCCUUGAAGGGUCGUUCGAGACCAGGACGUUGAUAGGUCAGGUGUGUAAGCGCAGUAAUGCGUUCAGCUAACUGAUACUAAUUGCCCGUAAGGCUUGAUCCU